rfam:Triticum aestivum genome assembly, contig: Triticum_aestivum_CS42_TGACv1_scaffold_221158_3B
AUAUUACUCCCUCCGUCCCAAAAUUCUUGUCUUAAAUUUGUCUAGAUAUGGAUGUAUCUAAUACUAAAACAUGACUUGAUACAUAAAAAUCUAAGACAAGAAUUUUGGGACGGAGGGAGUAUCGG